rnacentral:rRNA from 1 species
GACGAACGCUGGCGGCGUGCUUAACACAUGCAAGUCGAACGGAAAGGCCCUGCUUUUGUGGGGUGCUCGAGUGGCGAACGGGUGAGUAACACGUGAGUAACCUGCCCUUGACUUUGGGAUAACUUCAGGAAACUGGGGCUAAUACCGGAUAGGAGCUCCUGCUGCAUGGUGGGGGUUGGAAAGUUUCGGCGGUUGGGGAUGGACUCGCGGCUUAUCAGCUUGUUGGUGGGGUAGUGGCUUACCAAGGCUUUGACGGGUAGCCGGCCUGAGAGGGUGACCGGCCACAUUGGGACGGAGAUACGGCCCAGACUCCUACGGGAGGCAGCAGUGGGGAAUAUUGCACAAUGGGCGGAAGCCUGAUGCAGCAACGCCGCGUGCGGGAUGACGGCCUUCGGGUUGUAAACCGCCUUCGCCUGUGACGAAGCGUGAGUGACGGUAAUGGGUAAAGAAGCACCGGCUAACUACGUG